UAUAUACUCUCCCUUCUUUUAUGCAUCUAAUUAUAUGGCCUCUCCUUUAUGUGACCCGCUCAUUACACUUUUCCUUUCACCCAUCUCAUUUCAGCCCUGAAGGAUGCCCAUCUUACAGAACACGUCCUGAGACAGCUCAUUAAACCACCCCACGUAUUCACUUCAUUACAGCUUUUUAACAUAUACAUCUUAUUACAUGGAACUCUUCAUGAAUCUCAUUAAAAUCUCAGAAGAGCUAGCUCACUCUUGAAAACAUGUGGUCAUUCUGCCUCUCAGGAGCAACUGUAUAAGAUGUUUGUCCGACAUGGAGAGGUAAAUGGAAAGGAGAUGCUGGAGGAGGAAGAAGAAAAGGGAAAAGAAGAGAUAGAGGUACAAGGGAAAGAAACAACAUGUGUACCACAAAGACCCAAUGAUGAAUCUUUCACAUGGGACCCAACCCACAAUAGGCAGUACAUCUCUGAGUGUCUCUUCUUUUGACUGAGGAAGCUAGAUACAAGCAAGAUCUCAUUCUCUUACCACAAAUAUGGACAGACCGGCACCCACAAGCACAACCACCAAGAAAAGGGCAAGUACAACUCAAACAUAGGAGUUCCCAUUAUGGCUCAGUGGUUAAUGAACCUGACUAGCAACCAUG
ensembl:lncRNA